GAUGCAUGUUGUUAUUUUCAAGUGAUACAAAAUAUGAAAUAAUUAGUGUGAUGUUAUAUGCUACGAGAAACAACAUGAAAUAUCCUAAAAUCAAUUAGUGAGGUAAAAAAUAUAAAAUAAUACAAUCAAUUAUAUAUAUUUAAAGUACAAUAUAUAUAUCGAUAUCUAAAAUCUCGUCAAGUGGCGAUGCCUCUCGUGGAUAUCACGAUCAUUAGCAUAGUCGGAAGGCACAUCAAUCCACCCCUCUAACCAAGCGGCAUUGUAGUCUCGUAUGUUCAUCCCAUAAAAACGCGCUCUAGGUAUAAGCACUCUCAAAUCUCUUGUUGAAGCUUUAGCUGGAAGAAGGGCCCAUCCGAAUAUGCCGGCAGUAUAAUGCGACCUGUAAGACUCCGAGCUGCGAAAAAUAGUAGCCACCAGAAGACGAUGCCUCCGACACUCCAUAUCCAUAUUUGUAUGGGGCAUAGGUUGCUUGUGGCUGCGGAUUAUAGGAUCCAGCAUACGACUUAGAAUUUAAUACUUUUAUGGAUCCUACUCCACGUGCAAGGUCAUCUGCAGCUACAUCGCGUCCUCAUGAAUGACCUCAAGGAGCCUAUCUUCUAUAUGCAACUAUAUCAUCACGGGCUCUACUAGAUUGUGCACUGUGAUCUCUCCCCUUGCACAUCUCUUCAUUAGUGAUAGGACUCAUGUAUGGUUAUGAAUAUAUCUAGUGAUAGUUUCAAUUUUUUCUACUGUCUGCUGCACCCCAUGAAUCUUCGCAAUGUCCAUCAAUAUGAGGUCGAUACAAUAUGCAGCACAUGGAGUCCAAAAAAAUAUGUGGCCGCCACUUCACCAUGAUCUCACUAGCGGCCUUAUAUUGUGGCCCAUUAUCGGUGAUGACAUGUACGACAUUCUCCUCUCCUACUUGAUCAAUUAUCUCCUCCAUCAAUCUAAGGAUGCAUAUGGUGUCAUGCACCUGAUCGAAAACAUCAACCGACUUAUGAAAGAAAAUUUUCGUAUCACAAUAUCAAAAUGUUGAUAAUGCUCCUCCUAGUAGGAUCGGUCCAACCAUCACACAUCACCAUCAAUUCAUUAUGGGUCACUCACUCUUGUAUGAGGCAAUCCAUUUUUCUAGCUCAUUAUUGUCAAAAAACUCACCAAAUGUCCUUCGGUCCUGAAGGAUCUACACCGAGACCGGCAGACUGUAUAGAGAAAAUGAGACUUAUCGUACAUAUUGUCUGCCACAUUCACUAGAAUGUGGCUGAAGUAGAACCAAAAUUCAAUAGCUCACCACAUAUCCUUCUUUAGCAUUGUGUCAACACUUUGCUAUUUCAGAUCCUUGCUGAAGAAGGCAUGUGGAUCUAAAUCAUGGAUGGUGGCUCCUGGUAGAAUCUCCUUAGAGGACUUCUUCUGCAACCAAAAGCCCCUAGCAUAGAUGCAAUAUUGCCACCCCCUCUUCUGACGGCCUCCCUAAUUGAGGUCCGUUUGAACUCUGGAUCUGCCAUACUGUUGCACAACCGGAGCCCAACUCG
rnacentral:lncRNA from 1 species